rnacentral:rRNA from 1 species
UACGUAGGGUCCGAGCGUUGUCCGGAAUUAUUGGGCGUAAAGGGCUCGUAGGCGGUUCGUCACGUCGGGAGUGAAAACUCGGGGCUUAACCCCGAGCCUGCUUCCGAUACGGGCAGACUAGAGGUAGGCAGGGGAGAGCGGAACUCCUGGUGUAGCGGUGGAAUGCGCAGAUAUCAGGAAGAACACCGGUGGCGAAGGCGGCAUUCUGGACCGACAUUGACGCUGAGGAGCGAAAGCCAGGGGAGCAAACGGG